AGAGUUUGAUCCUGGCUCAGAAUGAACGUUGGCGGCGUGGAUUAGGCAUGCAAGUCGAGCGAGAAUUUGUGAUUGGGAGCUUCGGCCGAAGAGAUCAAAGGAAAGCGGCAAACGGCGUAGUAAUGCGUAGGUACGUACCCUCAGGUUGGGAAUAGCCACGGGAAACUGUGGGUAAUGCCCAAUAAUAUCUGCGGAUCAAAGGUGUGAUUCCGCCUGAGGAGCGGCUUACGUGAUAUUAGCUUGUUGGUGGGGUAAUGGCCUACCAAGGCAACGAUGUCUAGGGGGUGUGAGAGCAUGGCCCCCACGACCGGAACUGAGACACUGUCCGGACACCUACGGGUGGCUGCAGUCGAGAAUCUUCCGCAAUGGACGAGAGUCUGACGGAGCGACGCCGCGUGCGGGAUGAAGGCCCUUGGGUUGUAAACCGCUGUCAGAGGGGAUGAAAUCAUGGUGGGCAAUCCCUCCAUGUUGACAGAGCCUCAGAGGAAGCACGGGCUAAGUACGUGCCAGCAGCCGCGGUAACACGUACUGUGCGAACGUUAUUCGGAAUCACUGGGCUUAAAGGGUACGUAGGCGGUUUAUCAAGUCAGGUGUGAAAUGCCUGAGCUCAACUGAGGCACUGCGCUUGAAACUGAUAAACUAGAGUAUUCCAGAGGUGUGCGGAACUGCCAGUGGAGCGGUGAAAUGCGUUGAUAUUGGCAGGAACACCGGAGGCGAAGGCGGCACACUGGGGGAUAACUGACGCUGAGGUACGAAAGCCAGGGUAGCGAACGGGAUUAGAUACCCCGGUAGUCCUGGCUGUAAACGAUGAGCACUGGGCGAGAGAGAGUUCGCUCUUUUUUGCCGUAGCGAAAGCAUUAAGUGCUCCGCC
rnacentral:rRNA from 1 species